GUCAUUCACUUCCCUGCUGCUGUGCACUUAACCUCUGCUUUCCUAUGCACCUACUUACAUUCCUGCCCCCCCUUGAGAAUGGGAAUAUGGGGAAGAGGAAAGGCAGAGUGAUUCCCAGAUGUAUCCAUUUACAAAAGAACCCAGCUCAGCUCCCGAUCAUCCUCAGCAGUCAGAGCUGUGCCUUCAGUCCAUGGUGUGCUCAGACAUCUGCCCAGUCUUGCCUAGCAGAGUCUUCAAAAACACCUCCAGUGUGCAUCAAGAGAAAUUAAUUCCAUGGCUCAUGCACCCAGGAGUUAAUUGAAAAUCCUCCCUGCUUUUUCCAGGUGCUGAGCAUUAAGACAAGGCACAGCUAAAACUGUCCAACAACCCCAGAAGUCAAAAAUUGUUGUGAAGUCUGCUCAGACAGCAGUGAGACUUUGUUCAUCCAAUGGCUUGCUCAUAAAAACUGAAAGCAGAUAAAGGGAAAAGGGAAAUGAAAUGAAGAAUUAUAAAGAGUCAUAAUGAGUCAAGCCAAAGGAUUGUUCAGGAUCCUGUGUCUGAGACAAUCCAGUUUCAGCUGUUUGGAGAAGGUGCACAGGGGAAAAUCAGGAGCUAAAUGAUCCCUUUCAGAAGGACUGAGAAUCCUCUGCCCUCCUUCCUCAACAUAGCCUUGAGAUUUCCUGCAAUCUUUGCUGAAAGCUUCCAUGGCAUCCUGUAGCAAUGAGUUCCACAAUUUAAUUAUAGACUGCUUGCAGAAAUACUUCCUUCUGUUUGUUCAGAACCUGCUGAUGAUUUCAUGGUGCGCUUGUACAGUAAGAAAUAAUGGCUAUAGUUCUC